rnacentral:pre_miRNA from 1 species
UUAACUCAUAUUUGUAUGGAAUUGGAUCGUAUGCGUACGUUUGCCGCUAGGGGCGCUGUUCCAACUGCAUACACAAUUAGGUUA